rnacentral:lncRNA from 15 species
AUUAACUUUCACUGUUUUGCAGAUGAUACACAGUUAUAUAUAUCGAUCAAGCCCGAUGAAAUUAAUCAAUUAUCUUAAUUUCAAGAAUGUCUAAAAGACAUAAAAACCUGGAUGAGCUGCAAUUUUCUGAUGUUAAACUCAGAAAAAAAUUAAAUUCUUGUACUUGGCCCCAAACAUCUCCGAUUCAUUUAUCAACAUUUAAUACAGACACACAUUACAUGUAGAAGCUCUUUUGUCUUUUUCCACUCACUGUUCUCAUAUUUGAAAUCCUGUUUCUUUAGUUUUUAAUGUUUAAUUUCAUACUGAUGAAGGAGUUUCAUAACACUGUUUAUUACUUUCUGCAGGAUGGACUUGAAGAAAGCAGUGUAAGUAUAAUCUGUUAACUUCAUAAAGAUUCUUUCACACAUAAUAUAUUGAUGAAGCUGUGAACAUCAUUAAAACCUCUUUAGUUGCAUUCAUCUUUUCUGUCACUUGUAUCUGUUGUAUCCACACUGACACUGAAGUUCAAUCAACUUUAUUUUAUUGAAGAUCAACAACUGUAAAUAUUAUAAUGUAUAACCCUCAUAAUGUUCCUGUUGUCCUAGAAUAAUCUAAUAAUAAUUCAUGUUAAAGUGAGAAGUAGAGGAAACUACUUUAAAAAGAGGAGGGAAAUCAUUCAGUGGGAACAGAAUCAACUUUUACUGAACUUUUCUGAUGUCUACUUGGUAGUUUCUGUGUAUCCAGCAGUUGCUGUGGCUGAUGGAUCACAAUCUAAUUUACCACCCUGGUGGUCUUUGUCUCUCGUCCAUCAGAACCAGAACCAGAACCAGUGACAGUGACAGAGACAGUGACAGCAACGAGUCCAUUACAUCCAAUGUGUCCUUCAAGAGUAAUUGGUCAAAAGAAGAUUCUGUUUAUUUCAAAGAAUCCUCUCCUACCAGAAACAGGAAAGAAAGCGUGGUCUCCAGUGUUAGCGUGCUUUUUAAAUCAUCCAUCCACCACAACCUCCUUUCUACUCUGAGCUCAAGGUGACGUUUUUUACCACUGUCAUUCCAGUAGGAACCAUCUGGUUUUAUAAAUGAUGGCAUAUUGAUUCAAAGUGCCAGGAUGUGUCCUGAUCUCCAGCCUGUAGACUGGCUCAGCACAUCCUUCCUUUACUUUACUGUCAGGGUUUAGAUUCUAGUUUGUCAUUAUAUGUUUUUAACUGAUGAAAUACUUGAGUUGGGGACACACCUGAGCACAUACUGGUUUAGUUUCCCAUCACAGUUUAAAAGAUAAAAACGGCCUCUCGAGGGGAUGGAACAUAAAACAAUAUUUUCAGCAAACAUUCAGACAUUGUUACUUUUUCUAUCAUAAAUUGAACAAAACAAACAAACCAAACCAUCAUUGUGGUAUGUGCAAGGUCUCCAACCUUCAUCAGCUCUUUAGGUCUGAGGCAUAGUAAACAGUUGUGAUUAGGAAGUCGNNNNNNNNNNNNNNNNNNNNUUU